UUUCCGUAGGUGAACCUGCGGAAGGAUCAUUAAAGAGUAAGGGUCUUCGGGCCCGGUCUCCAUCCCUUUGUUUAACUACCAUGUUGCUUUGGCGGGCCCGUCUCACGACCGCCGGAAGUUUGGCUUCGACCAAACUUCUGGCCCGUGCCCGUCAGUGGCCCCUUCAAAUUCUUGAUCAAGUAUGAUGUCUUAGUUAAAAACUUAAUAGUUAAAACUUUCAACAACGGAUCUCUUGGUUCUG
rnacentral:misc_RNA from 1 species